UGCAUGUUGCACAACAGUUAGUGCAGAUAGACUGUCAGUUUUGAGUUGGCUGUGAGUUAAACAGUUUGACCCCAACAUCUAAGGAUUUAUACAGAAAUGAAUGCUCUGGGAGUUCUGGCGUUUGCUUCCAUAAUCCUGUUGGUUACCGCUAGUGGACUGGAUUCUUAUAAUGACAAUGACAAGCAAAUCAUUAAUCGUCUGAUCAAAUUAGGUAACGAAAAGUUAGAUCACUUCAGGAUGCAUUUGGAUUAUUCACAACACCUGGCACAUGAUGAGUAUCCCAGAGCACAUUUGCGAAUAGAGCUGAAACCAACCAACUGCCCAAGGAAAACUUCAGCACAUUUCCACCAUCAUCCAGAAUGUGGUGUUCAGACUGGAGCACGCAUACCAGAAAUUGACUGUAUUGCCUGCCAUAAUGGCUUUGCUGACUGCAUGACUAAACAAUACCUGGCACAGACAAUGCCCAUGAGAGCACAAGCAUGUGGCGACUAUGUUAUUGGACAACAUGGAGUUGCAAUGCGGGAAGGGAAUUAGCCUGCAUGUAAAAACCCAGCCGUGUCAAAUGUCCUCUGGAGUGUCACAUUACCCCCUGGUAGCAGCAUUGGUUGAAUAAAUGACAUGCCAUUGAUUAGCAAUUAUCUUCUUCUUCUUCUUCUUCUUCUUCUUCUUCUUCUUCUUCUUCUUCUUCUUCUUCUUCUUCUUCACAAUGUACAAAAAGAAACACAGGGAUUCGAUAAAAUGACAAUGUUUUUAUGGGUCAUUCCAUUUGCCUUGAAGAAAAGUAAAAAGUAAAAAAUAAUGAAA